rnacentral:lncRNA from 1 species
AUGGCUACCUGCUCCGCUCUCCCCUUUCCAGCAGCCAACAAGCCCUGCCAACGGCAGCCGCAACGUCAGCGCCCACAAGUGAAGAGGAGGCAACGCGUCCUCUCAUUACCAAGGCUCGCGGAUGAGCCACUCCCACCUGUGGCACCUGCGGCUGCAGCAAGACUGCCGAAUUCCUCGGGGCUGGAAGAAGCCAACACUUAUGCCAGGGACUACAACCAAUCUCUGCAUCAGCUCCAGCAGAGACCAGUAGGGGAAGGUGCCAGUGGCCAGGAAGCCCCGGGAGCCGCCUGGAACCACAAACGAUGGCAUCCGCAUCACGGCCUUCCGCCAUGCAUGGCGCAAGGAGAGGAGCCAUUGCUGGAAGAAGAGGAGGACACUGAGGUGGAGGAGGAGGAGGAGGAGGAGGAAGAGGAAGAAGAGGAGGAGGAGGAAGAGGAGGAGGAGGAAGAGGAGGAGGAGGAGGAAGAGGAGGAGGACGAGGUGGAGGAGGAGGAAGAGGACGAGGUGAUGGCGGUGGAAGAAGGGACUAGUAGGACGGCCACCUUUGAACUCAUGCCAGAAAUCUAUGUGGGACAAGAAGAAGAACCUGCACACAGAACUGGGACAACAGGCAGUAAGUGUGAACGGUCCAGAAACAGGAUCUGCUGGCCUUUGGAAACUGAGUCUUGUCCACUUCAUGAACUUCCUGAACUUCAUGGUAAAUCUUUGUCUAAAACAGGAGACAGGGGAGAAUCCCCACACCCAUCCACUUCUACAGCCACAAGAGGUGCCGUCCCAGGUGGGUCUGGGACGUGGAGCCUAAGAUCCCGUGAAGUCAACGCUACGUCUCUUCUGGGGAAACAGCCCUUGAAAGGAAACAGUCGCCAAGGGAAAGCAACCACCACCUUUGCAAGAACAGGACAAAAUGGGCCCGGGGCCGUGCAAACAGCAUCCAUUGAAGCAGGAAGGCGAGCCGCUUCAUUGGAGGAUGUGAUGGGCCAGCUGGAGGUUCUAACCGAAGUUAUCCAGUCUGCUGGUGAGUAA